UGAAUACGAGAUGCUACGGCGUCGAAGCAGUGUAUGUCAGACUUCCAAGAAAAGCUCGCAAUGUCAUAAAUAAAGAAUGCCUGUACCAUAACCGACACAGGUGGGUAGGUAGAGUAUACUAAGGGGCGCGAGAUAACUCUCUCUAAGGAACUCGGCAAAAUAACUCCGUAACUUCGGGAGAAGGAGUGCCUUCUUUAAGAAGGUUGCAAUAACAAGAUCCAAGCAACUGUUUAUCAAAAACACAGGUCUCCGCUAAGUCGUAAGACGAUGUAUGGGGGCUGACGCCUGCCCAGUGCCAGAAGGUUAAAGAAGUUGGUUAGCUUUUGCGAAGCUGAUGACUGAAGCCCUGGUGAACGGCGGCCGUAACAAUAACGGUCCUAAGGUAGCGAAAUUCCUUGUCGGGUAAGUUCCGACCCGCACGAAAGGCGUAAUGAUUUGGAUACUGUCUCGGAGAGGGACUCGGUGAAAUAGACUUGUCUGUGAAGAUGCGGACUACCUGCACCAGGACAGAAAGACCCUAUGAAGCUUUACUGUAACUUGAAAUUGAAAUUGGACUUUAUUUGCGCGGUAUAGGUGGAAGGCGUUGAAAGUAAUCUUGCGGGAUUAGUGGAGCCAUCAGUGAGAUACCACUCCUAUAAUGUUAGAUUUCUAACUUUGGAUCAUGAUCUGGUCAAAGAACAGUUUCAGGCGGGCAGUUUGACUGGGGCGGUCGCCUCCCAAAUGGUAACGGAGGCGUACAAAGGUUUCCUCUGAACGGGUAGAAAUCGUAUCUAGAGUGUAAAGGCAUAAGGAAGCUUGACUGUGAGACCUACAAGUCGAGCAGGGACGAAAGUCGGUCUUAGUGAUCUGACGGUGCUGAGUGGAAAGGCCGUCACUCAACGGAUAAAAGUUACUCUAGGAUAACAGGCUGAUCUCCCCCAAGAGUUCACAUCGACGGGGAGGUUUGGCACCUCGAUGUCGGCUCAUCGCAUCCUGGGGCGGUAGUACGUCCCAAGGGUUGGGCUGUUCGCCCAUGAAAGCGGUACGCGAGCUGGGUUCAGAACGUCGUGAGACAGUUCGGUCCAUAUCCGGUGUAGGCGUUAGAAUAUUGAGAGGAGCCUUCUUUAGUACGAGAGGACCGAGAAGGACAUACCUCUGGUGUACCAGUUAUCGUGCCAACGGUAAACGCUGAGUAGCUAUGUAUGGAGAGGAUAACCGCUGAAAGCAUCUAAGUGGGAAGCCCACCUCAAGAUGAG
rnacentral:rRNA from 1 species